rnacentral:rRNA from 1 species
GGCUUGUUGAUAAUAAUUUCAGGUYUGACCUGCCCAAUGAUGAAAUUAAAUGGCCGCAGUAUUUUGACUGUGCUAAGGUAGCAUAAUCAUUAGUUUUUUAAUUGAGAACUGGAAUGAAAGGUUUGAUGAGAAAAUUUCUGUCUCUGAGAAAAUUUUUUAGAAUUUUAUUUUUAAGUUAAAAAGCUUAAAUAAUCAUGGAAGACGAGAAGACCCUAUAGAGUUUUAUACUUACAGAUAAAUAUAUUUUUUGGUUGAUAAAGGUUUUAUUUUUUUUGUCAGUAUUUUGUUGGGGUGAUAGAAAAAUUUGAUUAACUUUUUUUUUAUUARAACAUUAAUAUGUGAUUAUUUGAUCCUUGAGUUUAGAUUAAAARAUUAAAUUACCUUAGGGAUAACAGCGUAAUUUUUUUUARAGUUCUUAUCGGAAAAAAAGUUUGCGACCUCGAUGUUGGAUUAAAAUUAAUUUUUGGUGAARAASCUAGAAUAUUAGGUCUGUUCRACCUUUAAAAUUUUACAUGAUCUGAGUUUAAACCGGCGUGA